GUGCCAGGGUUUUUUCCCCAAUGAGCUAAAACUUCUGAGGCUUAUUGAUAUUCUGACUUGCCAACAUAAUUCAAGAACCUUUGUUCCCACAUCAUCUUGUUUCUUUUUUUUCGACACAGCUGAGGCAACAUGUUUCGUCUGUCUGAGCAACAGCAACAGAUCAGUUUUCUGUGUCCAUUCAUUACAAAGUUCAUCUCUUUUUUUUUUGUUUGACUUAUUUGUGUUUUCAUAGUAUAUACUUCAUAUUUAUUUCUACUUUGUUAAUGUUAAG
rnacentral:misc_RNA from 1 species